UACAGAGGGCGCGAGCGUUGUCCGGAAUCACUGGGCGUAAAGGGCGCGUAGGUGGCCCACUAUAAGGCUGCGGUGAAAGUUCGGGGCUCAACCCCGAAUCUGCCGCGGCGACUGUAGGGCUUGGGCACCGUAGAGGCAGAUGGAAUUCCGGGUGUAGCGGUGGAAUGCGUAGAGAUCCGGAAGAACACCAGUGGCGAAGGCGGUCUGCUGGGCGGUGGGAGCGCAAGCUCCUCUUAGCCGACACUGAGGCGCGACAGCGUGGGGAGCAAACAGG
rnacentral:rRNA from 1 species